UACAGAGGCCACAAGCGUUAGGCGGAAUCACUGGGCUUAAAGCGUGUGUAGGCGGGUUGGUAAGUACCUUGUGAAAUCCCACGGCUUAACCGUGGAAAGGCUUGGUAUACUGCCGAUCUUGAGUCAUCUAGGGGCAACCGGAACAGAUGGUGGAGCGGUGAAAUGCAUAGAUAUCAUCUGGAACGCCAAUGGUGCAGACAGGUUGCUGGGGAUGUACUGACGCUGAGGCACGAAAGCCAGGGGAGCAAACGGG
rnacentral:rRNA from 1 species